rnacentral:rRNA from 1 species
AGAGUUUGAUCCUGGCUCAGGACGAACGCUGGCGGCGUGCCUAAUACAUGCAAGUCGAACGAACUCUGGUAUUGAUUGGUGCUUGCAUCAUGAUUUACAUUUGAGUGAGUGGCGAACUGGUGAGUAACACGUGGGAAACCUGCCCAGAAGCGGGGGAUAACACCUGGAAACAGAUGCUAAUACCGCAUAACAACUUGGACCGCAUGGUCCGAGUUUGAAAGAUGGCUUCGGCUAUCACUUUUGGAUGGUCCCGCGGCGUAUUAGCUAGAUGGUGAGGUAACGGCUCACCAUGGCAAUGAUACGUAGCCGACCUGAGAGGGUAAUCGGCCACAUUGGGACUGAGACACGGCCCAAACUCCUACGGGAGGCAGCAGUAGGGAAUCUUCCACAAUGGACGAAAGUCUGAUGGAGCAACGCCGCGUGAGUGAAGAAGGGUUUCGGCUCGUAAAACUCUGUUGUUAAAGAAGAACAUAUCUGAGAGUAACUGUUCAGGUAUUGACGGUAUUUAACCAGAAAGCCACGGCUAACUACGUGCCAGCAGCCGCGGUAAUACGUAGGUGGCAAGCGUUGUCCGGAUUUAUUGGGCGUAAAGCGAGCGCAGGCGGUUUUUUAAGUCUGAUGUGAAAGCCUUCGGCUCAACCGAAGAAGUGCAUCGGAAACUGGGAAACUUGAGUGCAGAAGAGGACAGUGGAACUCCAUGUGUAGCGGUGAAAUGCGUAGAUAUAUGGAAGAACACCAGUGGCGAAGGCGGCUGUCUGGUCUGUAACUGACGCUGAGGCUCGAAAGUAUGGGUAGCAAACAGGAUUAGAUACCCUGGUAGUCCAUACCGUAAACGAUGAAUGCUAAGUGUUGGAGGGUUUCCGCCCUUCAGUGCUGCAGCUAACGCAUUAAGCAUUCCGCCUGGGGAGUACGGCCGCAAGGCUGAAACUCAAAGGAAUUGACGGGGGCCCGCACAAGCGGUGGAGCAUGUGGUUUAA